AACCGACUCCACGAUGAAGAUGUUAUAGCACAUGCUGGAACAUUCACCCUGUGGAAAAGCGUAAACAGUCAGAAACCUGGAAAAGGAAUAAUUACUCAACAGAAGUAACUAAAUACUAAUAACUAAAUAUACUGGUUGCAGUGUAGCCCGAGACAUUACAUCCCUAGUCAGGUGAUCAGAGGGAGCCUGUCUUUGCUUCAAUGGGUGAAGAGCGACCGCUGGGUGGGAGGAAGAUCUUUGUUUUUGCAACAGCUGGAGGAACUCUGGUCAGAAAACACUGGUCUAUUGCAUUAAAGGGAAAACGGGUUCUUCUCAAGAUUUCUGUCAGAGGAAAAUAAGAGUUGUUCAAAUGCCAAGGACCACUUGUGUAGAGCUUCAAAAAGAACUUGAAUUAGCAGAUUGUAAAAUGUCUUUUCACAUAUUUGUGAGUUUCUUCCAAGAACGCACCUGGACUGGAAACUAGUUUGAUGUUGGACAGAACGCUGUUUUCCAAACACUUGUGCAAGCCAAGUCUGUUUGUAUAUGCCGCCCCUUCAACUCUACAUAUAGGAAAAGCUACCAAAUACCACUAUUGGGCAUCUAUAAGGAUCCUCUACUCUCUAUUACCACCAUAUAUAGCUGAAUUAACCCUGCAUAUAUCCUAACACCGCAUCUACCAUAUCAAUUCCGAUCAAUGUAGCAGGAUACAGCAUUCUGACAUAAGUUUAAUUCUGAAGAUUAAGAGCUGUUUAACCUUCUAUGUCCUUGGCACUGGCUCCAGGAGUAACACAGAAAUCAUCUCAAUUGCGUGGAGAAACUACAUAUGUGGCAUAAUGAAUUGCGAACCAAGAUGCGUAAAAUGUGAUCUUGUGUGGGAUGUCUAGCCCUGUCCACACCAAUGGUAAAUUGUGUUUUAUGCAGGGCAGCCUGAUUGCCUCGCUCCUGACAAUGGACGUUAUUAUCUGAGAAUAGGAAAGUAGGCGAUGGGGAAAUGAUGGUGCUCACAUCCCAUCAGACUGUUCACAGCAGAACACAAUGUGCUGACCGUAGAGGUGAAAAAGGAUUCUCAAAACCUAUUUGCACACUAUUAAAGGGUUAAUGGGGCAGUACUGAGCUAAAAUUAAACGUGUCCUGACUAUCAAAAACAUAGAAUCGCUCAUAAUAUUGUUUCAAUCUGUGCAUUGCUUCCAAAUGGUAAUAGGCUGCUUUAUGAAAAGUCUAAAGGUCUGUAUUAUGAGCCCAUUGGGACUGCUUUUAGCCAUUUCUUAAAUAUUUUUUCUUUGCUGAAUUUGCUACAUUUUCUGGAGCUAUAGCAAAAAUAUGCGUCCAAUUACAGAUGGAUUUUGGCACUAAACAACAAAAAAGGCUUAAUUUU